rnacentral:rRNA from 1 species
AUUGAACGCUGGCGGCAGGCCUAACACAUGCAAGUCGAACGAGUGGCGGACGGGUGAGUAAUGUCUGGGAAACUGCCUGAUGGAGGGGGAUAACUACUGGAAACGGUAGCUAAUACCGCAUACCAUCAGAUGUGCCCAGAUGGGCGGAGCUUGUUGGUGGGGUAACGGCGCACCAAGGCGACGAGCCCUAGCUGGUCUGAGAGGAUGACCAGCCACACUGGAACGGAGACACGGUCCAGACUCCUACGGGAGGCCGGAGUGGGGAAUAUGGCACAAUGGGAGCAAGCCUGAUGGAGCCAUGCCGCGUGUAUGAAGAAGGCCUUAGGGUUGUAAGGUACUUUCAGUGGGGAGGCGUUACCCGCAGAAGAAGCACCGGCUAACUCCGUGCCAGCAGCCGCGGUAAUAC